GUGGGGUGAAAAAAAGGGACAGAAGCAAAAAGGCUACGGAGGAAAAAGCAAGAGGGGGCUACGGGAAGAAAAAAAAAGGGAGGUUUGCGUCAGAACAAAAAAAGGAGGAGGUUUUGGGGAGAGAAAGGGAACUGAGCAAGAGAAGGAGGGAGCUUGGCGGCUAGGGUUGGAGGGAGAAGUGAGAGUCUAGAAGGAGAAAAGAAAAAAGGGUUUUUGGGCUGAGAGGAAAAAGGAAAACUGAGGGCAAGAAAGAAGGAGAGUUUCGGGGGAGAAAAUUGGAAGCUUGAAGGAAGAAAGGAAGGAAAAGAAAGGAGAGAAAAACCAGAAAGGGAGGAAGCUUUAAGCAAGGGAGAGCAAAAGGAAAACUAAGGAAUAGAGGAGGAGCUGGAUUAGCUGGAUUAGCUGUCGCUUGCCGAUAUCACCCACCGCCACCAUUCAUGUUGAGAUGUGGUUUCUGUCUUUGAUGAAGGAGCUUGUUGGGUUGCUUAUGAGUUGAUGUUUCUCUGCGUUUUUGCUUGCGCUUUACAGUCCAAAGCCGUUCCCUUUUUCUUGUUUACUUGUAUUUUUAGGUAUAGCAGUGUCUGAGGGUUCUUUUUUUUCUUAUCACUUUGUUCCUAGAAUCUGUUUGUUUUGUUUUUUCUCCCUAAGAGUGAGGAACCUGUCUAAUGUUUUAGGGUUUUGCUGUGAGAAUGAGAAUGAGGUUACAUGGGUUUGUUUCAAACAAUGUUUUGGUCCUCUCUGUUCUAUGGUAUGGUACUGGCGAUUCGUACAGAAACCUUGUUUUGAUGACCUGUCGUUGCUUAAGGAACAACCAACAAAGAAGAUGAAGUCUUCGAAUAGACUGCAUAAUCUUUGUUUUAAAUCUCUGUGUGCAGACGUUAGAAGUUGUGGUGGAUUGUAUUCAAUAUCUAUUUUUUUGUCUUGGUAAAUCACUGGAAAAGUACUGGUUGAGUUUCAUGUCUAAAUAUUUCGGUAGUAAAAUUUUUUGCAGAAACCCAGGAAAUGGAAGAAAGUUGCCUUCA
rnacentral:lncRNA from 1 species